rnacentral:pre_miRNA from 1 species
UAGCUACUCCCUUUGUUCGAAAUUACUUGUCUCGGAAAUGGAUGUAUCUAGAACUAAAAUACGUUUAGAUACAUCCAUUUCUGCGGCAAGUAAUUCCGAACGGAGGGAGUACAUG